UACGGAGGGUGCAAGCGUUAAUCGGAAUAACUGGGCGUAAAGCGCACGCAGGCGGUCUGUCAAGUCAGAUGUGAAAUCCCCGGGCUUAACCUGGGAACUGCAUUUGAAACUGGCAGGCUAGAGUCUUGUAGAGGGGGGUAGAAUUCCAGGUGUAGCGGUGAAAUGCGUAGAGAUCUGAAGGAAUACCGGUGGCGAAGGCGGCCCCCUGGACAAAGACUGACGCUCAGGUGCGAAAGCGUGGGGAGCAAAC
rnacentral:rRNA from 1 species